CCUACGGGAGGCAGCAGUGGGGAAUCUUCCGCAAUGGACGAAAGUCUGACGGAGCAACGCCGCGUGAGUGAUGACGGCCUUCGGGUUGUAAAGCUCUGUUAAUCGGGACGAAUGGCUACCAUGCGAAUAGUUUGGGAGUUUGACGGUACCGGAAUAGAAAGCCACGGCUAACUACGUGCCAGCAGCCGCGGUAAUACGUAGGUGGCAAGCGUUGUCCGGAAUUAUUGGGCGUAAAGCGCGCGCAGGCGGAUCUGCCAGUCUGUCUUAAAAGUUCGGGGCUCAACCCCGUGAUGGGAUGGAAACUACAGAUCUAGAGUAUCGGAGGGGAAAGUGGAAUUCCUAGUGUAGCGGUGAAAUGCGUAGAUAUUAGGAGGAACACCAGUGGCGAAGGCGACUUUCUGGACGAUCACUGACGCUGAGGCGCGAAAGCCAGGGGAGCGAACGGGAUUAGAUACCCCAGUAGUC
rnacentral:rRNA from 1 species